rnacentral:rRNA from 1 species
UGAGGAAUAUUGCGCAAUGGGGGCAACCCUGACGCAGCAACGCCGCGUGAGUGAGGAAGGUUUUCGGAUCGUAAAGCUCUGUCGAGUGGGAAGAAAUGUAUCAUGGCUAAUAUCCCUGGUAUUUGACGGUACCGCUAAAGGAAGCACCGGCUAACUCCGUGCCAGCAGCCGCGGUAAUACGGGGGGUGCAAGCGUUGUUCGGAAUUAUUGGGCGUAAAGAGCGUGGAGGCGGCUGAAUAAGUCAGAUGUGAAAUCCCUGGGCUUAACUCAGGAAGUGCAUUUGAAACUAGUCAGCGUGAGUAGGGGAGAGGAAAGUGGAAUUCCUGGUGUAGAGGUGAAAUUCGUAGAUAUCAGGAGGAACACCGGUGGCGAAGGCGACUUUCUGGCCCUAUACUGACGCUGAGACGCGAGAGCGUGGGUAGCAAACA